rnacentral:tRNA from 2 species
GCCGGGGUCGCCUAGCCCGGUUAGGGCGGCGGGUUGCUAACCCGCUGGCCGAUAAGGCCGCCCGGGUUCGAAUCCCGGCCCCGGCGCCA